UACGUAGGGUGCGAGCGUUAAUCGGAAUUACUGGGCGUAAAGCGUGCGCAGGCGGUGAUGUAAGACCGAUGUGAAAUCCCGGGGCUUAACCUGGGAACUGCAUUGGUGACUGCAUCGCUCGAGUAUGGCAGAGGGGGGUAGAAUUCCACGUGUAGCAGUGAAAUGCGUAGAGAUGUGGAGGAAUACCGAUGGCGAAGGCAGCCCCCUGGGUCAAUACUGACGCUCAUGCACGAAAGCGUGGGGAGCAAACAGG
rnacentral:rRNA from 1 species